rnacentral:rRNA from 1 species
CAGCAGCCGCGGUAAUACGAAGGGUGCAAGCGUUACUCGGAAUUACUGGGCGUAAAGCGUGCGUAGGUGGUGGUUUAAGUCCGUUGUGAAAGCCCUGGGCUCAACCUGGGAAUUGCAGUGGAUACUGGGUCACUAGAGUGUGGUAGAGGAUAGUGGAAUUUCCGGUGUAGCAGUGAAAUGCGUAGAGAUCGGAAGGAACAUCUGUGGCGAAGGCGACUAUCUGGGCCAACACUGACACUGAGGCACGAAAGCGUGGGGAGCAAACAGGAUUAGAUACCCGAGUAGUCCCUGUCUCUUAUAC